UCCGUAGGUGAACCUGCGGAAGGAUCAUUACCGAGUGAGGGCCCUUUGGGUCCAACCUCCCACCCGUGUUUAUUUUACCUUGUUGCUUCGGCGGGCCCGCCUUUACUGGCCGCCGGGGGGCUCACGCCCCCGGGCCCGCGCCCGCCGAAGACACCCCCGAACUCUGUCUGAAGAUUGAAGUCUGAGUGAAAAUAUAAAUUAUUUAAAACUUUCAACAACGGAUCUCUUGGUUCCGGCAUCGAUGAAGAACGCAGCGAAAUGCGAUACGUAAUGUGAAUUGCAAAUUCAGUGAAUCAUCGAGUCUUUGAACGCACAUUGCGCCCCCUGGUAUUCCGGGGGGCAUGCCUGUCCGAGCGUCAUUGCUGCCCUCAAGCCCGGCUUGUGUGUUGGGCCCCGUCCUCCGAUUCCGGGGGACAGGCCCGAAAGGCAGCGGCGGCACCGCGUCCGGUCCUCGAGCGUAUGGGGCUUUGUCACCCGCUCUGUAGGCCCGGCCGGCGCUUGCCGAUCAACCCAAAUUUUUAUCCAGGUUGACCUCGGAUCAGGUAGGGAUACCCGCUGAACUUAAGCAUAUCAAUAAGCGGAGGA
rnacentral:rRNA from 1 species